rnacentral:rRNA from 1 species
CUAACAUGCAAGUCGAACGGUGAAGCCCAGCUUGCUGGGUGGAUCAGUGGCGAACGGGUGAGUAACACGUGAGCAACCUGCCCUCCACUUCGGGAUAAGCCUUGGAAACGGGGUCUAAUACCGGAUAUGAGCAUCUGCCGCAUGGUGGGUGUUGGAAAGUUUUUCGGUGGGGGAUGGGCUCGCGGCCUAUCAGCUUGUUGGUGGGGUGAUGGCCUACCAAGGCGUCGACGGGUAGCCGGCCUGAGAGGGCGACCGGCCACACUGGGACUGAGACACGGCCCAGACUCCUACGGGAGGCAGCAGUGGGGAAUAUUGCACAAUGGGCGAAAGCCUGAUGCAGCGACGCCGCGUGAGGGAUGACGGCCUUCGGGUUGUAAACCUCUUUCAGCAGGGAAGAAGGCCUUCGGGUGGACGGUACCUGCAGAAGAAGCGCCGGCUAACUACGUGCCAGCAGCCGCGGUAAUACGUAGGGCGCAAGCGUUGUCCGGAAUUAUUGGGCGUAAAGAGCUCGUAGGCGGUCUGUCGCGUCUGGUGUGAAAACCCGAGGCUCAACCUCGGGCUUGCAUCGGGUACGGGCAGACUAGAGUGCGGUAGGGGAGACUGGAAUUCCUGGUGUAGCGGUGGAAUGCGCAGAUAUCAGGAGGAACACCGAUGGCGAAGGCAGGUCUCUGGGCCGCAACUGACGCUGAGGAGCGAAAGCAUGGGGAGCGAACAGGAUUAGAUACCCUGGUAGUCCAUGCCGUAAACGUUGGGCACUAGGUGUGGGGCUCAUUCCACGAGUUCCGUGCCGCAGCUAACGCAUUAAGUGCCCC